UACGUAGGGUACGAGCGUUGUCCGGAAUUAUUGGGCGUAAAGAGCUUGUAGGCGGUCUGUCGCGUCUGCUGUGAAAAUCCGGGGCUCAACCCCGGACUUGCAGUGGGUACGGGCAGACUAGAGUGUGGUAGGAGAGACUGGAAUUCCUGGUGUAGCGGUGAAAUGCGCAGAUAUCAGGAGGAACACCGAUGGCGAAGGCAGGUCUCUGGGCCACUACUGACGCUGAGAAGCGAAAGCAUGGGGAGCGAACAGG
rnacentral:rRNA from 1 species